AAGUGGAGCAAUCCAUGAGUAAAGUGGCGACCGGGUGAGUAACACGUGACUACCUGCCCUUGAGUGGGGGAUAACCUCGGGAAACCGAGGCUAAUACCGCAUAAUAUCGCAAGAUCAAAGGAGCAAUCCGCUUUUGGAGGGGGUCGCGGCUGAUUAGCUAGUUGGUAAGGUAAUGGCUUACCAAGGCGAAGAUCGGUAUCCGGCCUGAGAGGGCGCACGGACACACUGGAACUGAAACACGGUCCAGACUCCUACGGGAGGCAGCAGUGGGGAAUUUUGCGCAAUGGGGGAAACCCUGACGCAGCAACGCCGCGUGGAGGAUGAAGCCCCUUGGG
rnacentral:rRNA from 1 species